CAGCAGCCGCGGGAAUACGUAGGGUGCAAGCGUUAAUCGGAAUUACUGGGCGUAAAGAGCUCGUAGGCGGUUUGUCGCGUCUGCUGUGAAAACUGGAGGCUCAACCUCCAGCCUGCAGUGGGUACGGGCAGACUAGAGUGCGGUAGGGGAGAUUGGAAUUCCUGGUGUAGCGGUGGAAUGCGCAGAUAUCAGGAGGAACACCGAUGGCGAAGGCAGAUCUCUGGGCCGUAACUGACGCUGAGGAGCGAAAGCGUGGGGAGCGAACAGGAUUAGAUACCCGCGUAGUCCCUGUCUCUUAUAC
rnacentral:rRNA from 1 species